UACGUAGGGUGCAAGCGUUGUCCGGAUUUAUUGGGCGUAAAGCGCACGCAGGCGGUCUUUUAAGUUUUGAGUGACAGGCGAGGGCUUAACCCUGGCAGGCCUUGGAAAACUGGAAGACUUGAGGGCGAGAGAGGGAUGCGGAAUUCCAGGUGGAGCGGUGAAAUGCGUAGAGAUCUGGAAGAACACCGAAGGCGAAGGCAGCAUCCUGGAGCGUUACUGACGCUGAUGUGCGAAAGCUAGGGGAGCGAACGGG
rnacentral:rRNA from 1 species